rnacentral:rRNA from 1 species
ACGAAGGAUGCAAGCGUUAUCCGGAUUCAUUGGGUUUAAAGGGAGCGUAGGCGGUCUUAUAAGUCAGUGGUGAAAGCUCUUCGCUUAACGAAGAAAUUGCCAUUGAUACUGUAGGACUUGAGUACAGUUGCUGUGGGCGGAAUAUGACAUGUAGUGGUGAAAUACAUAGAGAUGUCAUAGAACACCGAUUGCGAAGGCAGCUCACAAAACUGUAACUGACGCUGAGGCUCGAAAGUGCGGGGAUCAAACAGGAUUAGAUACCCUGGUAGUCCGCACUGUAAACGAUGAUUACUCGCUGCUAGAGGGUAACUUUUAGUGGCUUAGCGAAAGCGAUAAGUAAUCCACCUGGGGAGUACGCCGGCAACGGUG